rnacentral:rRNA from 1 species
UGGGGAAUAUUGCACAAUGGGCGCAAGCCUGAUGCAGCCAUGCCGCGUGUGUGAAGAAGGCCUUCGGGUUGUAAAGCACUUUCAGCGAGGAGGAAGGUGGUGAACUUAAUACGUUCAUCAAUUGACGUUACUCGCAGAAGAAGCACCGGCUAACUCCGUGCCAGCAGCCGCGGUAAUACGGAGGGUGCAAGCGUUAAUCGGAAUUACUGGGCGUAAAGCGCACGCAGGCGGUUUGUUAAGUCAGAUGUGAAAUCCCCGGGCUCAACCUGGGAACUGCAUUUGAAACUGGCAAGCUAGAGUCUCGUAAAGGGGGGUAGAAUUCCAGGUGUAGCGGUGAAAUGCGUAGAGAUCUGGAGGAAUACCGGUGGCGAAGGCGGCCCCCUGGACGAAGACUGACGCUCAGGUGCGAAAGCGUGGGGCAGCAAACAGGAUUAGAUACCCCUGGUAGUCCACGCUGUAAACGAUGUCGAUUUUGGAGGUUGUGCCCUUGAGGCGUGGCUUCCGGAGCUAACGCGUUAAAGUCGACCG